AAGCUUUCAUGUGCAUGCACACUUCUUCAGAUACCUGAAGAAUAUAUCUGAAGAAGUGUGCAUGCACACGAAAGCUU